GGAGUCGGCCAGACAGUCGCUGUGUGCUAAUGCACAUGGAGGAAAGUCCGGGCUCCACAGGGCACGGUGCCAGGUAACGCCUGGGGGGCGCGAGCCUACGGAAAGUGCAACAGAAAGAUACCGCCUAAGUGCCGCGCAAGCGGCGCCGGUAAGGGUGAAAUGGUGCGGUAAGAGCGCACCGCGCGGGUGGCAACAUCAACGGCACGGCAAACCCCACCUGGAGCAAGACCAAAUAGGGAAGCGAGCGGCUUAACGGCCGCUACAUGUGGCCCACAUGGGCUUCCGGGUAGGUCGCUUGAGCUGCGCGGCGACGCGUAUGCCAGAGGAAUGACUGUCCAAGACAGAACCCGGCUUAACGGCCGACUCCUUUU
rnacentral:RNase_P_RNA from 1 species